AGGAUAAUAGUUAAUAAUAACAUUUGAUUUGCAUUCAAAAAGUGUUGGAAUUCCAACUUAUCUUA
rnacentral:tRNA from 1 species